CAAGAGUGAAAAAUGCAUAAUGCUCAGUUUGCAAAGUUAACUUCAUUAGAAAUGAUUCUCCCUCCCAGGUAGUUCUUUAUUACUUCAUCUUGAAAUUGGCAAUGUAGCGCUGGGUUUUUACUCUAACUUUUAAAAUGUUUCUCGUUCUCCCCCAUCCCACCCCAAAUAGAAUCGCUUGAUAAAAACAAAAGCAAAUUAAUAUUUGGUGUUCACGUUUUUAACCAAUCAGCCAACUGAGAACCAGGUGGGCUAAUCCUAAUCCCUUUUUGAGGAUUGUCCUGAAGGCCAGAGGCCAGGUGUGGCCUCCAGCCUCAGGCACCCACAGACUUUCAAGAGGCCUCUUCCUGAGGUCCUCUCUCCCUACUUUAACAAAUUCUCCUCCCACAUGAGAUGACACAUCUGACAGUCACCCAGCUGCUUGAUGUAUGCAGGUCAAGCUGUGAACUGGCUUUGAGUUCCAAUCACCAUUAGAAGGUAAAUUCACUGACUUGAAAGCUUACUGAUGUCAUGGAGUCAUAAUCAAAGAUCUCUUUGAAGUGGAAGUUGGUCAGUCAUUGCAGGAGGAGGUAAGAAGGGGUGAGAUAAAAACUCAGGCAGCUGAAACCAUUACCCUCCGGGGAAGCAAACCCCAGCCCUCAAUUCUGAAUCCCCAGUAAGGCCUCUCCCCAGUGCAAGCAAGCCCACCUUUCCUUAGCCAUCCCCAUUCAUAUCCUCAUCUGCUUCUGCCUCACCAAGGGUGACUGCUGUUCAAAUCCUGGCUCAGCUGCUCACCGGCCUUAUGCCCCUGCCCUGGGGAAGGCCAAUGCUUGGCUGCUUGCUCACCUACUAAACAAGAACCCUCUGAGUGUUGGUGCAUUUCCCUCGGUGAAGGGUUUGGCUUGGAGUCAGGGUCUUCUCUCUCUCUUCUGAUUGCGAGCCUGGCCGGACCCUUGCCUGGAGACGGAGUCUGCCAUGUUGCCCAGGCUAGUCUCAAACUCCUGGUCUGAAGCCAUCCUACCGCCUGGCCUCCGAAAGUGCUGGGAUUACAGGUGUGAGUGCCGUUCCUGGCUGGUGUGUUUCUUCUGGAGAGGAGUCAUUUGCUAAUAUCUGUAUCUGCUGCCUCUCUCUUUUGGCAGAGCCUCUGUCUGUGUAUGCAUGACAGAGUUUUUCCUCUCUUACCAGUAAAUUAGCAGAAUAUAGUUUCGUUUGCUGUUGUCAUUCCUCUAAAUGGGUGAGUAUUUUAUGUCUGAGGGACCUUCCCUGCCUGGGAGACAACUGAUUCUCCAAAGCACACUAGUGGCCAGCAGCUCUGAGUGUGCCACAAAUGCACGUGCCUGUUCCAUUUGUACAAGGAGGAUUUGCAAUCACUGCAUCUGCUGGCCUGCCCAGGACAGAGCCCUGUGGAACCUGGGUGCUCACCCUCACCCUGCUCACAGGGAUCCCCCGGAUGCCCUGGUGGCUCAGGCAAGAGCCCUCUAGUCCAGAAUCCUGUCAUUCAUCCUGGUGAGGAAUGAAGCUCUGGGGCAGUCGGGGCCUAUAAAGGCAGUGGCUCCUCCUCCCACCAUGUUCUUAGUGACCUACAAUGAGAGGAAAAUCCAUAAAUGCCCCUAACCCAGUUAUUUUAAGUAUACAAUGCAGUGGCAUUAAGUACAUUCACAAUGUUGUACAACCAGCACCACUGUUUCCAAAACAUUUUUCAUCACCUCAAACUGAAACUCCGUACCUGUUAACCAAUAACUCCCCAUUCUCCCCUCUCCCCAGCCCCUGGCAACCUCGAUUCUAGUUUCUGUCUCAAUCAGUUUGACUAAUCUAGGUACCUUAUAUACGUGUUUUUAUACAAUAUUCGUCCUUUUGUACCUGGCUUAUUUCACUUAGCAUGUUUUCAAG
rnacentral:lncRNA from 1 species